UCGUUCCUGGUUCGGGCGCUUUUCUCCCCACAUCGAGGCCCCAUACGAACCCGUGGGGGUUGGGCUUGUGAACUGAACGAUAUAUCGGGGGAAAUUUUCCGAAAGCUCGAUCGGAGUGCCAAUUGUAGCUGUAGCCGGCAGCAACGGCCAAUCGGCGUUGCCCCCUGGUCGGACAGGUGGGGGCUUAAGCGAACCGAGACUUAAAGCGAGGCCACUCGCCGUGGAGCUGUCAGAGCUCUGUGGGGCACGGUCACGCACGCAGCAGCCGGUCCUUUAGUUUUUCCGGCAUCCACUUCGUUGAUUGUUGGCUGCGAAUCGCGCAGCACUCUUCGCGAGCUUCUCUUACGGUUUUACGAUCGAUCAGCUGUAUUUGGGAUUGAUCUCAUCUAGUGAACAUCGACGAAUCGCUUCGUUCGGCAGCACGUACGAUCGAAGAUUUUCGAUAAAUCAGAGACGUGAAUUGAGGAGCAGACCGAUCCAGGAUACUCCAAGUGUCAGAAGUGCCUGCAACGCUCCGGUAGCUUUCGAAGGGAGCCGAGUAAGAAGAUAUGGCUCGGCAGUUGGACCCCACUGGUCUCUACUGAAGACGUUUUUCCCCGCGAUCGAGCAGCUACACACUUCCGCUUUCAGUGUUGCUGAGGAUCAUUAUCGUCGACAUGGCAAAAGGAUUGGACCCCACCGGUCUGUACUGAAAUGCCGACGAAUAACUGCGUUUCUUCAGGCUGUUCAUACAUCUUUCUGAAGGUGUUCAGUCAUAUAAAACAGUGCAUCAUGGCUGGACUCGAUCCAACCGGGCAGUAUUGAGUAGGUGAAGGAAGGUCGGGGAAUUUCCGGAAGGAAGCAGCAAAGUCACGAGAAACGCUUCAAGGUCGCGACAUGGCUGCUAUCGAGGGUCUGGAUCCGACCGGACAAUACUAAAUAUAGUAAAGUCUCCGAAACCCGGAGCGAAUCAUUUUAAUGCAUCGGUGGUAUCAGUCGACGAUGGAACAAGUGAGAGGAAAAGAGGAAGUUUCGUCCUCCACCCUGAGGAGACUGAGAUGGAGCAUCCAUAUUCGCAAAGGACGACAUCGGAUACUCCAUAUAAAUGUGAAAAGUCAAUAAAGAUGCCGAAUCUGCCUAAAUACAGGGAGCCGACCAGCAACAACAUCACUGCCGUCGAGUCGCUUCAUCGUACUUAGCUCCGAUAGGAAACACGAAGACGGUGAAGCCCACUCGACAAUGAAAGGACCAGGGAAUUUUACACUGCCAUGGAAAUUCGCCACCUAGUCGCUUCUUCUCUUCCUUCGUCUCGCCCGCGGUCUCUCGCGAAGGCACGCGACUCUUGAGGAGUGGAAGGCGGACAGCCAGGAGGAAUCGUGCUCGUUUUCGUCACGUUCGCGCCGUACACUGCCGAUUGUAACAUGAUUAAAUGCUAUUUUCCCCCUUCCUUCUUUUAUUUAUAUCAUGUGUUAAGAUAGCGUCACGCGGAUGCUAAGCGUCACGAGAAGAGCGACGCUUCAGCCUCGGUUAUCGCCGAGAGAACAGUCCUGUUGUUACUGUUUAACGCUACUUUAUUAUUACUGCUGCCGCUACUAUACUAGCCGCUACUGUCCGCCACCGGCCAGGACAUUUGCGCGAGCGAACAUCGCACCAUUACCGUUAUCGCUACACUAUCACCGGCUGUCACGAUAUACGGCCACCGUUACUGUAUCUUUCUUCUCUUACCUCGAGUUCCGAUGAUACCGCCGGACACCGGAUGUGGAAAAUAAUACAGAACUGAUUAUUCAAGAAAACUCGGUUUCUAUCUACGACGCGGCUUUUUAGUAUUCAUGUUAUACAAGUCGCUGAGAAUUAUGCAGCUAAAUUUAAACGAAACAUUAAAUCACGCACCGUCAAUGAGAUCGAUCUUCUCUGCACAGAGUUUUGCCGCAGAAGUUUUAUUUGCCGAUUUGUUUGUCGAUAACCGUUUCACAUAUCGCGUUAUCAAAAUGGAAGAGAAAUUAGAUAUGUCAGCAGAACAACUAGUUUUGGCGAAUUUCAACAAGUAAAUAUUAGAGCUUGUUUUUUUUUUAAGUAAUCAUUAUUUUAGCGAUAUAAUUUAGACAUAAUUGGUAAUAUUCAUUCUUGAAGUCAUUAAAGAUUUCAAAUUAGCUCAUUUUCACUAGGUUUUUUUCAGAUACAUCAUAUUCAAUUGAUUAGUAAUGUGUAAUGCUAAAAAUGAUACAAAAGGCUGCGAUAAAUGUAACAUGCUACUUUCAUAAAACAAAAAAAUUGUCUCCGAAUUAGUCGACAAAUCUGUUAGAUAUGGAAGUAGUAUAUGUAUGGAAUGUCAAAGUACGGAUGAUUAUUUGGAAUAAUUCGAGUUUUAAUCAAACAUUUUAUUUAGCAUUUUAUUUGGCAUUUUAUUUGAUUUUUUGUAACCACUUGAUAUGAAACAAAUAUAUACUUUUCAAAAU